UGACGACCAUAGCAAGAGUGAACCACCUGAUCCCUUCUCGAACUCAGAAGUGAAACCUCUUAGCGCCGAUGGUAGUGUGGGAGAUCCCAUGUGAGAGUAGGUCAUCGUCA
rnacentral:rRNA from 1 species